rnacentral:rRNA from 1 species
UACGUAGGGUGCAAGCGUUGUCCGGAAUUAUUGGGCGUAAAGAGCUCGUAGGCGGUGGGUCGAGUCGGCCGUGAAAACCUGCAGCUUAACUGUGGGCUUGCGGUCGAUACGGGCAUCACUGGAGUUCGGCAGGGGAGACUGGAAUUCCUGGUGUAGCGGUGAAAUGCGCAGAUAUCAGGAGGAACACCGGUGGCGAAGGCGGGUCUCUGGGCCGAUACUGACGCUGAGGAGCGAAAGCGUGGGGAGCGAACAGG